CUACGGGUGGCACCAGUGAGGAAUAUUGCACAAUGGGGGGAACCCUGAUGCAGCAACGCCGCGUGGAGGAUGACGCAUUUCGGUGUGUAAACUCCUUUUAUAUGUCAAGAAAAUGACGGUAGCAUAUGAAUAAGCACCGGCUAACUCCGUGCCAGCAGCCGCGGUAAUACGGCGGGUGCAAGCGUUACUCGGACUCACUGGGCGUAAAGGACGCGUAGGCGGGUUGGAAAGUCAGGUGUGAAAUCCUACAGCUUAACUGUAGAACUGCACUUGAAACUUCUAAUCUAGAGUAUGGGAGGGGGAGAUGGAAUUAGUGGUGUAGGGGUAAAAUCCGUAGAUAUCACUAGGAAUACCUAAAGCGAAGGCGAUCUCCUGGAACAUUACUGACGCUAAGGCGUGAAAGCGUGGGGAGCAAACAGGAUUAGAUACCCCAGUAGUC
rnacentral:rRNA from 1 species